rnacentral:lncRNA from 1 species
ACCAACAUCAUUAUUAUUAAUCCUGGCUCUGCCACUAAUCGGCUGUGUGACUUGGUCCUCGUCUGUAAAAUGGAGAUUAAGACUGUGAGCCCUGCAUGGGGCAACCCGAUUACCUUGUAUCUACCCCAACGCUUAGAACAGUGCUUGGCACGUAGUCAGCGCUUAACAAAUGCCAUCAUCAUUAUUAUUAUUGCAGUACUCUGCAUUCAGUAGGUGCUCAGUAAAUUCCACCGAUUGACGGGAAGUGCUGGAAGUGUCCCCGCUCGACAGGGAGCCUCAGCAGCUAUUGGCAGGAAGGCAGGCAGAGUCCAGAUGACACGAGACAAGAGGAGAGCUGGGGUUUAGAACCCAAAACAAGGGACGGUGGAAAGUCCACCGAGGGUGAGAGUCACGGGACUGUGGAUCAGAUCUGGCGCCUGGUGGGGAAUGAAAAGUUAAUUACUGCUUUCCUCUCUUUCAAAGAAAAACAUCCCUCUCCCGCCCCCAGCCCCGAUAUUUUCCAUCCAGAUGUCACACGGUAUUUGUGGGAUCCGCAGGAGAAUGGAAGCAGAGUUGACAACGGAGCAGCGCCGCGACAACUGUUACCUUGGAAACCCUUGCGAGCAAUCCUAAUGACAAUUAGCAGGACUCAGACCAGGCUGUGUCGACAGGCCGGCCGUAAAGAGGGAGUCGGGGAUCACGCACGGGGCAGGGGACUGACGGAACGGCGGCUUCUUCCUCUUUGUGGGUCCUUGGCGAAAUUAAGAAAACUUUCCUGGAAAAGGGCGUACAAAUAAGAAUGUUGUGGACACUAUCCCUCGAGGAACUUGCAAUCUGUGAGUUACUGGGAGUCAAGGGAACGACCCGGGAAGCCCACAUAACCUAUCCGUCACCAAAACCUGCCGGUCUCACCUUCACAACAUCGCCAAGAUCCGCCCUUUCCUCUCCAUCCAAACCGCUACCUUGUUAGUUCAAACACUCAUCGUAUCCUGACUGGAUUCCUGAAUCAGCCUCCUUUCUGAUCUCCCAAACUCCAGUCUCUCCCCACUGCCGUCCAUACUUCACUCUGCUGCCCGGAUUAUCUUUCUACAGAACCGUUCUGGGCAUGUCACCCCCCUUCUCAAAAAUCUCCGGUGGUUGCCUAUCAACCUUUAUAUCAAGCAGAAACUCCUCGCCUCCAAGCUGUCCAUCCCCUGGCCCCCUCCUACCUCACCUCCCUUCUCUCCUUCUCCAGCCCAGCCCGCACGCUCCGCUCCUCUGCCGCUAACCACCUCACGGUGCCUCGUUCUCAUCUGUCCCGCCAUCGACCCCUGGCCCACGUCCUACCUUUGGCCUGAAAUGCCCUCCCUCCUCACAUCUGCCAAACUAGCAUGCUUCCCUCCCUCAAAGCCCUACUGAAAGGUCACCUCCUCCAAGAGGCCUUCCCAGACUGAACCCCCCCUUUUCCUCUGUUCUUCCUCCCCUUCCCAUCGCCCCGACUCCCUCCCUCUGCUCUACCCCCCUCCCCACCCCACAGCACUUGUACAUAUAUUGCACAUAAUGUACAAUACUUGUACAUUUGUACAUACUGUACGUAAUGUACAUAGUUAUUAUUCUAUUUAUUUAUUAAUGAUGUGUAUGUAUCUAUAAUUCUGUUUAUCUAUAUUGAUGCUAUUGAUGCGUGUAUACUAGUUUUGUUUUGUUGUCUGUCUCCCCCCUUCUAGACUGUAAGGGUAGGGAUUGUUUCUAUUUGUUGCCAAAUUGAACUUUCCAAGCCCUCAAGUACAGUGCUCUGCACACAGUAAGCGCUCAAUAAAUACCAUCGAAUGAAUGAACGAAUCUCUCCGGCAGAGAUGGGAGGUGUCUUCCCCCAUGGGUCACACAGCGCAGGAAACUGAGGCUCAGAGAGGUGAAGUGACUCGUGCCGGGUCACCCAGCAGGCCAGGGGCACAGCUGAGACUAGUCCUGGGUUUCCUCUCGGGUAUACGUGCUUCCAGAGCCUGGUUAUCAGCCCCAGAAGUUCCCGAAUGGCUGCCUCAAAGAUGUUAGUGGUGUCCGGACCCUGUGAGCUGCAGAUGUUUCCCGGUGGAUCUGAAGUCUAUCCUGACCCUAACAUCCAGACCUCUCAUUAGUUCCUCAACCCGGCCCCCUAGGUCAGAUGGGACCGACGCUGGACCAGCCAGAGCCACCCCUGCUUCCCGACGGCGGGGAUGGGGGAAGGCUGAGACGGGACACUUCAGCUCUGUCUCUG